rnacentral:rRNA from 1 species
AUGAACGCUAGCUACAGGCUUAACACAUGCAAGUCGAGGGGCAUCAGGAAGAAAGCUUGCUUUCUUUGCUGGCGACCGGCGCACGGGUGAGUAACACGUAUCCAACCUGCCCUUUACUCGGGGAUAGCCUUUCGAAAGAAAGAUUAAUACCCGAUGGCAUAAUGAUUCCGCAUGGUUUCAUUAUUAAAGGAUUCCGGUAAAGGAUGGGGAUGCGUUCCAUUAGGUUGUUGGUGAGGUAACGGCUCACCAAGCCUUCGAUGGAUAGGGGUUCUGAGAGGAAGGUCCCCCACAUUGGAACUGAGACACGGUCCAAACUCCUACGGGAGGCAGCAGUGAGGAAUAUUGGUCAAUGGGCGCUAGCCUGAACCAGCCAAGUAGCGUGAAGGAUGAAGGCUCUAUGGGUCGUAAACUUCUUUUAUAUAAGAAUAAAGUGCAGUAUGUAUACUGUUUUGUAUGUAUUAUAUGAAUAAGGAUCGGCUAACUCCGUGCCAGCAGCCGCGGUAAUACGGAGGAUCCGAGCGUUAUCCGGAUUUAUUGGGUUUAAAGGGAGCGUAGGUGGACUGGUAAGUCAGUUGUGAAAGUUUGCGGCUCAACCGUAAAAUUGCAGUUGAUACUGUCAGUCUUGAGUACAGUAGAGGUGGGCGGAAUUCGUGGUGUAGCGGUGAAAUGCUUAGAUAUCACGAAGAACUCCGAUUGCGAAGGCAGCUCACUGGACUGCAACUGACACUGAUGCUCGAAAGUGUGGGUAUCAAACAGGAUUAGAUACCCUGGUAGUCCACACAGUAAACGAUGAAUACUCGCUGUUUGCGAUAUACAGUAAGCGGCCAAGCGAAAGCAUUAAGUAUUCCACCUGGGGAGUACGCCGGCAACGGUGAAACUCAAAGGAAUUGACGGGGGCCCGCACAAGCGGAGGAACAUGUGGUUUAAUUCGAUGAUACGCGAGGAACCUUACCCGGGCUUAAAUUGCAGUGGAAUGAUGUGGAAACAUGUCAGUGAGCAAUCACCGCUGUGAAGGUGCUGCAUGGUUGUCGUCAGCUCGUGCCGUGAGGUGUCGGCUUAAGUGCCAUAACGAGCGCAACCCUUAUCUUUAGUUACUAACAGGUCAUGCUGAGGACUCUAGAGAGACUGCCGUCGUAAGAUGUGAGGAAGGUGGGGAUGACGUCAAAUCAGCACGGCCCUUACGUCCGGGGCUACACACGUGUUACAAUGGGGGGUACAGAAGGCAGCUAGCGGGUGACCGUAUGCUAAUCCCAAAAUCCUCUCUCAGUUCGGAUCGGAGUCUGCAACCCGACUUCGUGAAGCUGGAUUCGCUAGUAAUCGCGCAUCAGCCACGGCGCGGUGAAUACGUUCCCGGGCCUUGUACACACCGCCCGUCAAGCCAUGGGAGCCGGGGGUACCUGAAGUACGUAACCGCAAGGAUCGUCCUAGGGUAAAACUGGUGACUGUGGC